AGUCCGAGUGAGAAGUCAUAAAAAGAAAUAUUUACCCUAAAAGCUAAGAUAUGACAGCAAAGGCCUUUAUUAUAACUGUAUAUAGUUAUAACAAUUAGGGAUAUUUAGAAUAUCCAGUGGAUAAGGUGUCGGCUGCUAAGUUCAGGGUCGUGGGUUCGAGCCCCACUGGGGUAGCGGCCAUAGCUUCUCAAGUGGCACGUACGGUACCAGCUGGUAGGAACUAUAUUUUAGACUACUUUACUACGCUUGCUGUAAUCAGUUUUUCCUCCCUUUGCAGACGUUUUCCAUUUGCAUUCGUGACGGGAGAAUGGAGGAGAUGGAAAGUUCUUGAGCUGAAUUUAGUAAAACAGAGACCACCAGAGGAAGUUGUGAGAGACUGACAAUGAUGUACUGAACGAUCAUGAUGGAAAGACAACAUAGUCAAAUGGGGGUUUGCCAUAAGCUUAACUUGUGCAUAGCCUCCUUUGAUAGAGAGCCUUCAGGAUAUUUUCAUCUAUGUGACUUACCGUCUGUAUACCUUGUACACUACAUAUUUUUAAAAACAGUCUAGGAAGAAAUACCCUAAAUGUGGGAGUAAAAUUGAAGCUGUCAGAAACAUUUAUACUAGAAAGUAUUUGAUAAUAUAAUAGCAAUUCUGACAUGAUUACAAUCAGGUAGAUAUUUA
rnacentral:lncRNA from 1 species